UAAUAAUAUGCAACUUUAAGUUUUUGUGUACUAUUAUUCUUAAGAAAAGCACAAAUUUGAACAGAACUAAAUAUAAAAAAUCACGAUAAAGAGUGUAAGUACUUUCGUAUUAGAUCACAACCUCGAAAUAUAAAAUAUAUGAAAAAAAUCCGAAAAAAGAUUGACUCUUCGAACUCGAAAAAAGCUACGUUUCGUAUUGAUUUCUGCGAAUUCGAGAAGUUGAAAAUAAUUAAUAGAGAUUGUUUUUUAAAGUUCUGCUCAUGAUUAUGCUCAAGAAAUUCAAUGUUUUUGGACAGAAAAUGAUAGAAAUGAUCCAAGCAAAGAGUUUCAAGAACUUUGGAUUAAACCAGUACACGAAUCAGCACAAUCACAGAUAAUUGCUCAGGUGUUCCACUUAUUGUCACUUCAUCUGCCAUGACCUGUGUUUUAAGUUGCAAAGUUCUUAAUUCCAAAUGAUUCUUUGUCAUUUCCUGAGCAGCUUUUUUGACCUUCUUCAAAAGAUUGUUAUCAAUCGACGAUUGAGAAUUUUCAAUUGCAGACACACUGUUAUUUAAAGCAUCAUAAUUAUUCUUAAGCAUGUCAUAAUCAUCAACAAGCUUGUUAACUUUUUCAGACACUGAACAAAGCAUAUCAUUCAUUUGACCAAUUCCUUCAACUUUUGAACUAAUGUUAAGCAACAAAUCUUGAAUAUUUGAAGGAUAACAUACAGGACAAGUAGUGAAAACUUUUUCGGCAGCUUGCGAUUUCGACAGUAAACAAUAUUGUAUCUUUACACAUUGCUCAUAAAAAUGAUGCUUACAUGGCGCUCUAGUCUGUACCUGGCAUGGAUUAUAGAGACAAGGAGCCUGAACUUAUGCUUUAUGAGUAGCAUGGAAGACAAGACGCCGGCGAGCAGUUCUAUUAUAGAUGUCAUCCUUGUAGCGUAGGCUGCAAUGAUUGUGAAGAGGGAGAAAAAUAAUUUUGAACACUUUCGUUGCACAGAGUGUCGGUUAGUUUAGGCAAAACUGCCUCUUGGACAGAAUUUGUACACUUUUGAACAAUUAAUUGAGGAUGUAGAUAAUAUUCCGAAACCAUCGAAAACUUGGUUUAUCUUCAAAUUCGAAAAACUCGUGCUGUUCAUGGAAAUAUUACCCAAUAUAUUUUGUGAACGGAAAAAAAUUAUAAUCACUGACUCAAUGAAAGUGAAAUAUUACUAUAAAAUUAAACCAAUUACUUGGCUUGAGAGUGGAGAAAUAAGCAGUAUCAAAGAUGUUAAGCGAGUAAUCGACCUAUACGAUUUUCUUGUAUUUCCUGAAAAUUUAAUAGACUAAUAGACUAAUAGUGACCUUGCUAAACAUCCAUAAUUUAUCGAUAUUAAAUUGGAAUUGUACAUUUAAAAUAUUUUUAGCAGAUUGUUCUAGGAACAAAAAUUCACUUGUAAAAAAAAAAUUGUACAAAUAUUUUUAACCGUAAUGCAAAAUGGAAGACAUGAUAAAAAUAACAAUAAUCAGACUAAUAAUAAUAGUUUAAGCAGGAAACUAAUGUUAUAG